GCCAUAGAUCACCCGUCAGGUGCCCGCUUUCAUAAGCGGGAGAAUCGGGAAUCCGGUGCAAGACCGGAACGUGCCCAACGCUGUAAGGCCGACGCUUGCCGCAUAGAAUGCCACUGGCCGCAAGGCCGGGAAGGCUGCGGCCAAGCGGAUGACGCCAAAGUCAGAAGACCGGCCUGGCAAGAUAGACCCAA
rnacentral:ncRNA from 2 species